rnacentral:rRNA from 1 species
GGUUAAGCGACUAAGCGUACACGGUGGAUGCCCUGGCAGUCAGAGGCGAUGAAGGACGUGCUAAUCUGCGAAAAGCGUCGGUAAGGUGAUAUGAACCGUUAUAACCGGCGAUGUCCGAAUGGGGAAACCCAGUGUGAUUCGUCACACUAUCGUUAACUGAAUACAUAGGUUAACGAGGCGAACCGGGGGAACUGAAACAUCUAAGUACCCCGAGGAAAAGAAAUCAACCGAGAUUCCCCCAGUAGCGGCGAGCGAACGGGGAGCAGCCCAGAGUCUGAAUCAGCUUGUGUGUUAGUGGAACGGUCUGGAAAGUCCGACGGUACAGGGUGAUAGUCCCGUACACCAAAAUGCACAGGUUGUGAACUCGAAGAGUAGGGCGGGACACGUGGUAUCCUGUCUGAAUAUGGGGGGACCAUCCUCCAAGGCUAAAUACUCCUGACUGACCGAUAGUGAACCAGUACCGUGAGGGAAAGGCGAAAAGAACCCCGGCGAGGGGAGUGAAAAAGAACCUGAAACCGUGUACGUACAAGCAGUGGGAGCACCUUCGGGUGUGACUGCGUACCUUUUGUAUAAUGGGUCAGCGACUUAUAUUCUGUAGCAAGGUUAACCGUAUAGGGGAGCCGCAGGGAAACCGAGUCUUAACUGGGCGUUAAGUUGCAGGGUAUAGACCCGAAACCCGGUGAUCUAGCCAUGGGCAGGUUGAAGGUUGGGUAACACUAACUGGAGGACCGAACCGACUAAUGUUGAAAAAUUAGCGGAUGACUUGUGGCUGGGGGUGAAAGGCCAAUCAAACCGGGAGAUAGCUGGUUCUCCCCGAAAGCUAUUUAGGUAGCGCCUCGUGAACUCAUCUUCGGGGGUAGAGCACUGUUUCGGCUAGGGGGUCAUCCCGACUUACCAACCCGAUGCAAACUACGAAUACCGAAGAAUGUUAUCACGGGAGACACACGGCGGGUGCUAACGUCCGUCGUGAAGAGGGAAACAACCCAGACCGCCAGCUAAGGUCCCAAAGUCAUGGUUAAGUGGGAAACGAUGUGGGAAGGCACAGACAGCCAGGAUGUUGGCUUAGAAGCAGCCAUCAUUUAAAGAAAGCGUAAUAGCUCACUGGUCGAGUCGGCCUGCGCGGAAGAUGUAACGGGGCUAAACCAUGCACCGAAGCUGCGGCAGCGACACUAUGUGUUGUUGGGUAGGGGAGCGUUCUGUAAGCCUGCGAAGGUGUGCUGUGAGGCAUGCUGGAGGUAUCAGAAGUGCGAAUGCUGACAUAAGUAACGAUAAAGCGGGUGAAAAGCCCGCUCGCCGGAAGACCAAGGGUUCCUGUCCAACGUUAAUCGGGGCAGGGUGAGUCGACCCCUAAGGCGAGGCCGAAAGGCGUAGUCGAUGGGAAACAGGUUAAUAUUCCUGUACUUGGUGUUACUGCGAAGGGGGGACGGAGAAGGCUAUGUUAGCCGGGCGACGGUUGUCCCGGUUUAAGCAUGUAGGCUGGUUGUCCAGGCAAAUCCGGAUAAUCAAGGCUGAGGUGUGAUGACGAGGCACUACGGUGCUGAAGUAACAAAUGCCCUGCUUCCAGGAAAAGCCUCUAAGCAUCAGGUAACAUUAAAUCGUACCCCAAACCGACACAGGUGGUCAGGUAGAGAAUACCAAGGCGCUUGAGAGAACUCGGGUGAAGGAACUAGGCAAAAUGGUGCCGUAACUUCGGGAGAAGGCACGCUGGUGUGUAGGUGAAGUCCCUGCGGAUGGAGCUGAGACCAGUCGAAGAUACCAGCUGGCUGCAACUGUUUAUUAAAAACACAGCACUGUGCAAACACGAAAGUGGACGUAUACGGUGUGACGCCUGCCCGGUGCCGGAAGGUUAAUUGAUGGGGUUAUCCGUAAGGAGAAGCUCUUGAUCGAAGCCCCGGUAAACGGCGGCCGUAACUAUAACGGUCCUAAGGUAGCGAAAUUCCUUGUCGGGUAAGUUCCGACCUGCACGAAUGGCGUAAUGAUGGCCAGGCUGUCUCCACCCGAGACUCAGUGAAAUUGAACUCGCUGUGAAGAUGCAGUGUACCCGCGGCAAGACGGAAAGACCCCGUGAACCUUUACUAUAGCUUGACACUGAACAUUGAGCCUUGAUGUGUAGGAUAGGUGGGAGGCUUUGAAGCGUGGACGCCAGUCUGCGUGGAGCCAACCUUGAAAUACCACCCUUUAAUGUUUGAUGUUCUAACGUUGGCCCCUUACCGGGGUUGCGGACAGUGUCUGGUGGGUAGUUUGACUGGGGCGGUCUCCUCCCAAAGCGUAACGGAGGAGCACGAAGGUUAGCUAAUCCUGGUCGGACAUCAGGAGGUUAGUGCAAUGGCAUAAGCUAGCUUGACUGCGAGCGUGACGGCGCGAGCAGGUGCGAAAGCAGGUCAUAGUGAUCCGGUGGUUCUGAAUGGAAGGGCCAUCGCUCAACGGAUAAAAGGUACUCCGGGGAUAACAGGCUGAUACCGCCCAAGAGUUCAUAUCGACGGCGGUGUUUGGCACCUCGAUGUCGGCUCAUCACAUCCUGGGGCUGAAGUAGGUCCCAAGGGUAUGGCUGUUCGCCAUUUAAAGUGGUACGCGAGCUGGGUUUAGAACGUCGUGAGACAGUUCGGUCCCUAUCUGCCGUGGGCGCUGGAGAAUUGAGGGGGGCUGCUCCUAGUACGAGAGGACCGGAGUGGACGCAUCACUGGUGUUCGGGUUGUCAUGCCAAUGGCACUGCCCGGUAGCUAAAUGCGGAAGAGAUAAGUGCUGAAAGCAUCUAAGCACGAAACUUGCCCCGAGAUGAGUUCUCCCUGAGACUUUAAGUCUCCUGAAGGAACGUUGAAGACGACGACGUUGAUAGGCCGGGUGUGUAAGCGCAGCGAUGCGUUGAGCUAACCGGUACUAAUGAACCGUGAGGCUUAACCUU